rnacentral:rRNA from 1 species
CACGUAGGGGGCAAGCGUUGUCCGGAUUUAUUGGGCGUAAAGAGCUCGUAGGCGGCUCAGUAAGUCAGGUGUGAAAACUCCAGGCUCAACCUGGAGACGCCAUCUGAUACUGCUGUGGCUAGAGUCCGGUAGGGGAGCAUGGAAUUCCUGGUGUAGCGGUGAAAUGCGCAGAUAUCAGGAGGAACACCAGUGGCGAAGGCGGUGCUCUGGGCCGGAACUGACGCUGAGGAGCGAAAGCGUGGGGAGCAAACAGG